GAGAGAAAGAUGAAAGAGAUAGGGCGGUGCUGGGUUGUUCAAAAACACAGAUAUAUAGGGAAAGAGAGAGAAACGGGAGAGACACGUGAGAGAAAGAUGAAAGAGUUGAGAGAGUGACGGUUGGCGGCCAUUUUCUCCGGCCGACCGUCUAGCAGAGAGAGAGAGAGAGCGUUAGAGAGAGAAAGAGAAACGGUGGUGGUUACCAGGCGUCUGAGAUGACGGCGGCGGGUUCUAGAGUCCCGAUCUGUCAAGUUAUCGCCGGUUGUGGCUUCUCCAAGGCGGUCAGUGGGUUAAUUGGGAUAAUCCGGUGGAGAUGCCGGCUAAGUCGUGCUCCUCGCGGUUGUUAGAUCGGGCCAUAAGACUACGGGAUAGGGAAAUCUUUCGGCGGUGACCCGUUACAUGCGGCGGUUCAGUGAGAGAGUGACGGUGAGGGAGUUGGCCACCCACGGCGGCCACAUGCUAUUUCAAGUGCAUGUCAAUGAUGGGUGAGAUUAAAUCAAAGGUAUCUUGGUAUAAGAGAGGUUGUCUAGAUCAAUUCUGGAUGAUGUUGAGGUUUUUGGGGAAAUUUCAGGCGGUAGCAGUAGCUAGCUGCUAGCGAUGAAACGGUUCACCCGUCAUGAAGCAGCGAGGGUACUAAGGAAGAGGUGUGUCUGAACCACGUGUUGGGAUUGUUCGGAUCCAGUUGGACUUUUGUGCCCCUGUUGUUGUGAAUCUGCGGUUCAAUCCCCAAAGUUAAAUUAUUAGAAGUGUUUUGUGGUAUGCAAGCUUUGGAUUUUACAUUAGAUGAACAACAACAUAGCCUAUCUGAACGGGCCAAACAAUGCAUCAAAGAAGGUAAUAUAAAUGUAUUCUUAAUUUUUCAAAGGAUCGACCAUAAUGACUAAGGUUCCGGCUAGGCUUGAGUUUGUGUUAGGUUGGUGAUUUCAGAGUGUGCGGAGCGCUACUAACCGGAAAUGUGUUGGAAAAUCAAUGUAUAUUGAGAAAGCAAGGUUAUUGUUUUUGAACAAUGAUGCAAAGCGUAUGAGUCCUUAUAUUAAAAAACUUGGGCAAAGCAUUGGCAACAAAAAUAAAAGCUUCAUUGGCAGAGGUAUGUAGUGCUCAACACGUGGACUAAUGAUACCAAAGUUGAAGACGUGAACGUUUUCUGAGCCGAAGACCGCCACAAAGAAUUUCGGUCAGUAAUCGUUACCUAGAGAGGGUGGUUACCGGACUGUUUUUGUAGGCUGGUUAGAUAUUGUUACAUUUCCCCACUGAAGGCUGGUGAUGGGAUUGCAGUGGCCUUCGAGAAAACAAAUCCCAGUGGGUAUAGGGUCUCAAUGAGUGGCAUGUUACUCUUUUAUUGGUGUAUGAGAAUUAUCAUUAUAUGAUUAUAUUUGUUUUUGAAGAUAAAUGUAUGAAAUUAGCAAAGUUAGAUUGUUAUUUUGGGUGUUUGGUGACAAUCACCAAAGCAUUCUGUUGGUAACUAACGUGUAUUUAUACCUAACAAGGUUUAUAGAUGAUUCGCGUUUAGCGCGCCGCAACGCGCGCGGGUUUU